rnacentral:rRNA from 1 species
AGCGAACGCUGGCGGCAGGCUUAACACAUGCAAGUCGAGCGGGCGUAGCAAUACGUCAGCGGCAGACGGGUGAGUAACACGUGGGAACGUACCUUUUGGUUCGGAACAACACAGGGAAACUUGUGCUAAUACCGAAUAAGCCUUUACGGGGAAAGAUUUAUCGCCGAAAGAUCGGCCCGCGUCUGAUUAGCUUGUUGGUGAGGUAACGGCUCACCAAGGCGACGAUCAGUAGCNGGUCUGAGAGGAUGAUCAGCCACACUGGGACUGAGACACGGCCCAGACUCCUACGGGAGGCAGCAGUGGGGAAUAUUGGACAAUGGGGGCAACCCUGAUCCAGCCAUGCCGCGUGAGUGAUGAAGGCCCUAGGGUUGUAAAGCUCUUUUGUGCGGGAAGAUAAUGACGGUACCGCAAGAAUAA